UGGAGGGGAUAUGAAAGAUGGCCUCUACUUGUAAGCUAUCACCCAGGGAUGGGCCUGCGUCUGAUUAGACAGUUGGCGGGGUAACGGCCCACCAAAGCGACGAUCAGUAGCCGGUCUGAGAGGAUGAACGGCCACAUUGGGACUGAGACACGGCCCAGACUCCUACGGGAGGCAGCAGUGGGGAAUCUUCCGCAAUGGGCGCAAGCCUGACGGAGCAACGCCGCGUGAGUGAAGAAGGUCUUCGGAUCGUAAAGCUCUGUUGUUGGGGACGAACGUGCUCCUUGCGAAUAGUGAGGAGUAAUGACGGUACCCGACGAGGAAGCCACGGCUAACUACGUGCCAGCAGCCGCGGUAAUACGUAGGUGGCGAGCGUUGUCCGGAAUCAUUGGGCGUAAAGGGAGCGCAGGCGGGGAGGCAAGUCGGUCUUAAAAGUGCGGGGCUCAACCCCGUGAGGGGAUCGAAACUGCUUCUCUUGAGUACCGGAGAGGAAAGCGGAAUUCCCAGUGUAGCGGUGAAAUGCGUAGAUAUUGGGAGGAACACCAGUGGCGAAGGCGGCUUUCUGGACGGCAACUGACGCUGA
rnacentral:rRNA from 1 species